rnacentral:rRNA from 1 species
ACUCCUACGGGAGGCAGCAGUGGGGAAUUUUGGACAAUGGGCGAAAGCCUGAUCCAGCAAUGCCGCGUGUGUGAAGAAGGCCUUCGGGUUGUAAAGCACUUUUGUCCGGAAAGAAAUCCUUGGCUCUAAUACAGCCGGGGGAUGACGGUACCGGAAGAAUAAGCACCGGCUAACUACGUGCCAGCAGCCGCGGUAAUACGUAGGGUGCAAGCGUUAAUCGGAAUUACUGGGCGUAAAGCGUGCGCGGGCGGUUUGCUAAGACCGAUGUGAAAUCCCCGGGCUCAACCUGGGAACUGCAUUGGUGACUGGCAGGCUAGAGUAUGGCAGAGGGGGGUAGAAUUCCACGUGUAGCAGUGAAAUGCGUAGAGAUGUGGAGGAAUACCGAUGGCGAAGGCAGCCCCCUGGGCCAAUACUGACGCUCAUGCACCAAAGCGUGGGGAGCAAACAGGAUUAGAUACCCUGGUAGUC